GGUGAGAUGGCUGAGCGGUCUAAAGCGAUAGACUAGAAAUCUAUUCUCUUCGGAGGCGUAGGUUCAAAUCCUGCUCUCAUCG
rnacentral:tRNA from 1 species